AUGAAAGGGGUAAGCUCAGUCUUUACAGGCUGGAGUGUUUUCUGCCCACAGUGCAUCAAUGGGAGACCUUUACAAAGUUGGACUUUGAUGAAGAUGCUGAGUGGGCAGUCCUGCCUCAGAGUCUCCUCUGAUCCAUGGGAGCCUGGGCUGCUCCACAGAAUGGUCCUGUGCCUUGGCACUGAUUUAUCAUCCACCAUGACCCCAAGCUCACGGAUGAGGAAGGAAUACCCAUGGCUGCUACCAUCCCUGCCCCUCUGGCUUCAGAACAUUGAUCUUCAAGGCCAUACGUGAUAAAAGGAGUGGGAGAUAUUCCCUGGAAUUAGCUGUUCCCUUUUUCUUUUUUCUGAUUAAGGUAAGAGCUGCACAAACUCCCUCUUUAAGAAUCACCUAACAGAGAAUACAAUGACUAGUCUGUCAUCGAAGUAUUUAGGGAUGAUGACGAUACCUAGAUUGGUUUUCAGUGUGUUUUUUGUUUUUAUUUUACUGUGAUGUUUCUACAAAAUCUAUAAAGCAUAGGGAUGUGAUAAGAAACAGUUUGUAGUUGCUGGUUAUUCUUGUCCAGAUGCACAGAAAUGCCCUGAUUGUUUCUUUCCAAUGACAACCAGCUCAGGGCUUAACAUUUUUCAGUUGCACAGCCAACUUUCAAGGUUACACAUAGAUACUGAAUGAAACAGAGCCCACUGGUUAUUUUUAGAGAGGCUCUAAACAAGAAGCAAAUCCCUGGAGCAGUGCUGCCAGAGAUGCAUAAAGUUCAAAUCCAAAUUAAAACUGCCUAUCUUUGGCCUACAUUCCAACUUGAACUUGAGGAAAACUGUGAUCUCUAAUUUGAACUUUAUGACAAAAACUCCUUUGCAAUUAGUUUCUAAUACCUGGGAAUACAUGAACUUGGUAUCAACACUCGAAAAAUAGAACUUGAAUGAAAAAUGUGAACACUUGUCCAAAAAUGUAGUACAUUUUCGUGAGUUUUGUAUGGUUUCAGUAGCUGCACUGGAAUUUGGAGAGUCUAAUUUUUUUGUGGUUCUUAGUUUCAACACAUCUUUGUAAGAUCAAGUCCUACAAUAUAAUUGUAAAUUUUGAGGGCAGGAGGAGAAACAUGCUUAUUUAUUGAUUCCUCUAAUAAUGACUUGUGAUGUUUAGGUUUAGCAGUGACCACAACAGAAUAUGAGGAAAGGAGACCCUUUGACAGCAGCAUAUUUAUGCAAAGUAGUGCAACUGAAGCAUGUUCUUGGUUUCUUUGCUGAAUCAGAGCCUGUAUCUUCUUCCUGCCAAGGCAGAGAUCUAAUACCACUCCUAAAUGCACUAGUAAUUCUAGAAGCCCUAACGAAAGUCAAGAUAACACCACAGAUUUUAUAAAUAAGGGUCUUUAUUUAGAAUACUGUUGAAAACAUUCUUGGCAACCACAUCGUAUAAAUAUAUAAAGUUAAAGUUUGACACAACAAACCAAGCAAUAUUAAAUAUUUUUUAAAUUUUUCCCCUUUUUAAAUUUUUGGCUUUUUUUUUUAAAAUUUAUUUAUUUUACUAUUUUUUAGGUUUUUUUCUUUUUUUUUUUUUUUUUUUUUUUUUUUUUUUUUUUUUUUUUUUUUUUUUUUUUUUUUUUUUUUUUUUUGGAAAGCAACUCUUAUUUACAAUUAUACAAAAGUUUUAUAAAAAAUGGUCCACAACCUUAUUUUGGCCAGAACAGGAGUAAUAGGAAGGAUCUGUCAUGCCACUACUGCUGUAGAUUUCUAUUUUCCUCCACAUUCAAGAGCCAGCUUCCUAUUCCCCACAGCCCAGAUUAAGUAUUGGCCAUUUCAUGGUAUACAAUUUUAUCUCUAGAUGUAUUAAAUAACUUUAGUUUAACAACCAAUAAAUAACUAUGUGUACUUUGAAGUGAUAUAGGU
rnacentral:lncRNA from 1 species